rnacentral:rRNA from 1 species
AAACGCUUGAAGUCAGUCGCGUCUUCCGGGACUUCAGUCGGGGGGUCUAGGCCCGCCGGCGCACUUCCCGGUUUUUGACGGGCCAGCGUCGAUUUCGACCGUCGUAGAAAGUCGAGGGGGAACGUGGCACCUCCGGGUGUGUUAUAGCCCCCCGUCGUAUGCGGACGGUUUCACGGGAUCGAGGAACGCAGCGCGCGCCCCUCUGUCUGACAAGGGGGGCCGGGGUUCGCCCACGUAACGCGCUUAGGACGCUGGCGUAAUGGCUUUAAGCGA